rnacentral:lncRNA from 10 species
GGAGUAACAAGGGUGACUCCACCUGCAGAAGCACCUGGCAGAACAGGCUUUCAAUGGAGGAUGGCAGAAGCAGACAAGAAGAGGCGAAUCUUUCGUAUACCAUAAGAGAGUGCCUCUGCAUGCACAGAAUCACCUGGGGAGCUUGCUGAGAUGCAGAUUCUGACUCGGGGGUCUAGGUGGAGCCUGAGUCUGCACCAUUUCACACUCCUAGGGGAUGCCGCUGCUGCCAGCAGAGAGCCCACACUUCAGGACACAGGAUCCAGCUUUGACACUGAGUUCCUAACUGCAGAAGCACCACCACCCCACAGCCAAGUGUGUGGCUCGGAAGCAAGAUGCUCUGGGUUUCCAUCACCUCUGCCACCUUACUUCACUUCUCAGGCCUCCUCCCACAUCUCAUACGGAAAACUAGGUAAAAUCAUGCUCACCACCCAAAACUAUAAGGAUUUGUUUUCAUGGAAAUAAUUUGAAUAGUGCCUAGCACACAAGUAUUCAACAAGUGUCAGCAGGAGUCCAAUUGCUUGAUACAAUUAUUUCCCAGCCUCAAGGAAAACUUAACUUAAUUGGAGAAGUAGGACCAUAUUUUGUGCUUCGCUUUUCCCCACAACACAAGGCCCAAGGCUGCUCACAUUAAAACGCUCAACAAUUGGGAAGUAAGAGUAACUAAGGACAGGACAGAGGGGGUGUCUAUAAGGCAAAGGCUUGAGGGUAAGAAAAAACUGCAGAAGAAACAGGAAAGAAACUGCAAAGGUUUUCCUGACGAAGCUACCUACCCACCUCACACAGCGCCAGCCCUACAAGGAUUCCCUCCAUGUUGUUUCUGUAACAAGACAAUCCCAUACCUUAUAGCAGGAGGCCUCAACCCCUGGACUGUGGAUCAGUACUGGUCCAUGGCCUGUUAGGAAUCAGGCCACACAGCAGGUUAGCUCUGCCUCCUGUCAGAUCAGCGGCGGCAUUAGAUUCUCAUAGAAUGAACCCUAUUGUGAACUGCGCUCGCGAGGGAUCUAGGUUGUGCGCUCCUUAUGAGAAUCUAACGCCUGAUGAUCUGAGGUGGAACAGUUUCAUUCCAAAACCAUCCCGUCCCCCACCACUGUCUGUGGAAAACCUGUCUUCCACGAAACCAGUCCUGGUGCCAAAAAGGUUGGGGACCCCUGCCUUACAGCAAGCCAAGUUUCCUUCUACUUAUUUGCUCGCUCUCCCCGUGGAAAACUGUAAUGUCUUUUAACGGGUCUCCUUUGGUCCCAAGUGUUCUUACAAAAUGUUUUGUGUACAUGCAUUUUUAAUUUAUAUAAAUGGUGUUACAUUAUAGAUCUCAAUUUCUUACCUUUUCCCCUCGGCAUUGUGUUUAAGAUGGAUCCAGAUGGCUACGCAUAUAUCUAAGCCAAUGCUCGUAACAGCUACCUGGCACUCCCUGGGGUACCCACAUUUCACCUACUCUUUCUACCUCCCAAUAGCCAUCACCCAGACUGUCUCCAGCUCUCCACCAUCAUAAGUACAGUCCCCUGAAAAUUUUCACCCAUGCCACAUCUUGUCUUCUGUCCUAGGUUUAAGUAAAAGUGCAGGUUAGGCUGUGCCAUCAGUCCUUCCCUGUCAUCACUCCAGGUCAGGUGCCUCUCCUCCACCUUGGCCCCAGGAGAGUGUUCUUGACAAACGGAGAAAAACAUCCAGUAUGAACUUUUUUUUUUUCUUUUGCUAGUAGCAAGUUUUAUUCUAAGCAACCGCAAAUCAUCCAAGGGGAUGUUCACAUAUGACCCCAGAGCCCACU